rnacentral:lncRNA from 1 species
UAGCUAAGCACACAAAAUGAAAAUCACAGGAAGAAGAGAAAGUUUAGACUUCAUUCUUUGAAUUUCUUGCAUGCCUCCAGGAGAGCUGCUCGUGCAUGAACAAUGUGUGCAUUACAAGGAUCUGUGGGGCUGAGAGGAGCAACUGACACACAAGAAAACCUGGGUAGAGGCCCUGAGCAAGGAUAAAAGAUUCACCUUCUAAAGACUGCACAGAGCUGCAUUUUAGGAUACCAUAAGAGCUUCUCUGCAACCCCAGCAGAGUAGUCAAAACUUCAGUUCUGCCCAGGGAGUGCUGCAGGAAGAGCUCUGAAGUGUCACAUCAUGCUACGUGCCGCAGCAUUCAGGUGCAAGGGUCUACUGGAUGCAGGGAGUCAUAUUGAAUGGGAUGUGAUCCACGUUUGAUUGUAUUUCUGGUGUAAUAGAAGUUAUGGCUGGUGUACAGUGACAACAUUCUAAUCGUGUUCAGUUGCAUUCUUUGCCAUUCUUUCUCCAUUUCCAUGUAGUCCUAGAAAUGGUUAGGAUCCCCAGCCUUGAAUUUUCCUGCAGUCUGCUAAAAGGUUGCCUGUAUUUUUGGCUCUGGUUCAUACAGAACAACUGUAUGAGCUGACACUUGACACCCUGACAUCUUCAUGUCCCAUCAGCCCACGUACCCAGUGACCAGCCUUCUGUGUCUCGCCUCACUCCUGGACGGGUCUACCCCUGUGCUGAGCCUGUCACGUGGGGAAGGGAGGGGAAGUGGCACAGGCUGGGCGUGGUGGAGCAGCAGGAGAUUUAUGGUUCUCCUGCCAUAUUUUGCCAGUUUUCCCAUUUAGAGCUUUCUCAUGAAGAGGAAUGCCUUGAAGCUGGAAUUGUUUCUUGUAAGCACUGAUCAGUGCUUCCAGGAAUGGGAGAAGGAUGUGAAGGAGAUGGAAUGCAAAGGCCUCUAGGUAAAACUGUUUUUCACUGUUACACAUAUGUUUCUCUCUGAUUUAAGGCUUUUUUAAAGAAAACAAGCAGAUUCAUC